UAAGGAAUAUUGGUCAAUGGACGCAAGUCUGAACCAGCCAUGCCGCGUGAAGGAUGAAGGUCCUCUGGAUUGUAAACUUCUUUUAUCUGGGACGAAAACGGGAUUUUUAUCUCAAUUGACGGUACCAGAGGAAUAAGCACCGGCUAACUCCGUGCCAGCAGCCGCGGUAAUACGGAGGGUGCGAGCGUUAUCCGGAUUUACUGGGUUUAAAGGGUGCGUAGGUGGGCUUAUAAGUCAGUGGUGAAAUCUCCGAGCUUAACUCGGAAACUGCCGUUGAUACUAUAGGUCUUGAAUUAUCUGGAGGUAAGCGGAGUAUGUCAUGUAGCGGUGAAAUGCUUAGAUAUGACAUAGAACACCAAUUGCGAAGGCAGCUUACUACAUAUAAAUUGACGCUGAGGCACGAAAGCGUGGGGAUCAAAC
rnacentral:rRNA from 1 species